CACGUAGGGGGCAAGCGUUGUCCGGAUUUAUUGGGCGUAAAGAGCGUGUAGGCGGCCAGAUAGGUCAGCUGUGAAAACUCGAGGCUCAACCUCGAGAUGUCGGCUGAAACCAUCUGGCUAGAGUCCGGAAGAGGAGAAUGGAAUUCCCGGUGUAGCGGUGAAAUGCGCAGAUAUCGGGAAGAACACCCGUGGCGAAGGCGGUUCUCUGGGACGGUACUGACGCUGAGACGCGAAAGCGUGGGGAGCGAACAGG
rnacentral:rRNA from 1 species